AACGAACGCUGGCGGCAGGCCUCAUACAUGCAAGUCGAGCGAUUAAGACUCCUUCGGGAGUGUAUAAAGCGGCGAACGGGUGAGUAACAGGUGGAUGAUCUACCUUCCGGUGGGGGAUAACGGCUGGAAACGGCCGCUAAUACCGCAUUCGGUUAAUACGCUGCGGCGUAUUAAAGAAAGGCGCUUCAAAGCGCCGCCGGGAGAUGAGUCCGCCCCCCCAUUAGCUAGUUGGUGAGAUAACAGCUCACCAAGGCAACGAUGGGUAGCCGAACUGAGAGGUUGAUCGGCCACACUGGAACUGAGACACGGUCCAGACACCUACGGGUGGCAGCAGUAGGGAAUAUUGGGCAAUGGGCGAAAGCCUGAUCCAGCCAUGCCGCGUGUGUGAAGAAGGCCUUCGGGUUGUAAGACACUUUGUUGGGUAAGAACGGACCGGAGUAAUACUUCGGCUGAAUGACGGUACCAAACGAAUAAGCACCGGCUACUUACGUUCGCCAGCAGCCGCGGUAAACGUACUAC
rnacentral:rRNA from 1 species